rnacentral:rRNA from 1 species
UACGUAGGUGGCAAGCGUUGUCCGGAUUUAUUGGGUUUAAAGGGUGCGUAGGUGGUCAAUUAAGUCAGUGCUGAAAUAUCCCGGCCUAACCGGGAGGGUGGCAUUGAUACUGAUUGACUUGAGUGGAGUUGAGGUAGGCGGAAUUGACGGUGUAGCGGUGAAAUGCUUAGAUAUCGUCAAGAACACCGAUAGCGAAGGCAGCUUACCAAGCUCUAACUGACACUGGUGCACGAAAGUGUGGGGAUCAAACAGG